CCAGCCCGGGCUGAGUUUCAGCCCGGGCUGAAAUUUCAGCCCGGUUUGAGCUGUCCGGGCUGAAAUUUCAGCCCAGGCUGAAACUCAGCCCGGCAUG